UUUUCUGCGGCUAGAUUGUGGAUGCUGGCAAAGGAUCCAGCAAACCCCUCUUCUAUUUUUUUUUGUGUUGCGUAGAGUUUCGGAUAGUGGAAGUGGGCUCGCUGUGUAUUUUCUUUGUUUCUUGGCGGUGGUUGGUUCUUGUUGGAAAUCCACUACAGCGAAGUAGUGUGUAACAAGAGCCGCAUUGGUGCAGGGGUCUUGUUUGAUGUUUGGCUACAUUUUAUCUUCUGCUUAGAUAUAUAUGGUGCAACGAUGUCGUACUGGUGGAUCGGUACAGCGUCAAGCGUCAGAAUUUAUUUAUUUAUUUAUUUUUUUUUUUUCAUUUUCCAUUGGCGGCUCAAAGGUGGUGGUGACUCAAGGCGUGUCAUCUUGAUUGUCUCCAGCCAGCACGAUAGGACCCUGAUUGUGUUGGUAUUGUAGACGCAGUGUGUUGGAGUGCAUUGUGCUGUGGUGACAACCUCAAUGCUGGAAGUUGACUUUGAAGUUUUGUUGUUUUUUUUAUUGCUGAUUGUCAAGCAAGCAACAGUCAUGAUCAACAACAAUUCACGUUUAAGUUGACUUGUUGUACCAAGGGUGCUCCAAGUUUGACUAGGGAGUUGCAGCUUGGAUUUGCGUUCUUGGCUGUGGUUCAAGAUUUCCAAAAUUGGUUGAGUGAUUAUGGCGGAUCUUGAAUUACGGUUUGGCCAAAGGAUUCCAAGAUUCCCAGCUUGCGAUGUACAACUGUGAGGUUCAGAGCCGAGUCUACUUGAUAAACAUUAGGAGAAUCACUAAGCUUGCGGAUUACACAAGGAGCUAAUGUUGCCCUUUUAAGCUUGAUCUAAUAUCAAAAUUGGUAUACCACUAUCUGCUACAGUGGGAAAUAUUCGAGGUGCAGAAUUUUUGAGCAGAGGGUGAUACGGUGAAUCAAUUCCAAGCAAUAGCGAUUCAAAGAAAGACAAGACUUAAUUGGAAGUUUUUAGUGAAGGUGGAGCAGCAGCCAUCCAGAGGAAAUAGUUCAAGGUUUCUGAUGAUGCAAUGAAGGCAAUGUAAGAAUCGCAUUAUCUAAGCUCAAGCCUUGUUGCCAAUGGAUGUAUCUACUUCACUAGAGGAUAUUGUCAAGGUGGUGUUUGUUAGCAUUCUAGACCAUUAAAGUGUGAGGGUGAAUCCAAGUACUGGAGACUAGAAUGAAGCUCCAACGAGAGCCGAAAGUGGAGGAGCCAACCAUUCUUUGGUAGAUUCAUCAACUACCUUCCUGCAUUCUGUAAGAUUUACAAAGAACAAUUGUGUGUAGGCAACUAAGUUAAAUUAAAAGCAAUUUAAGACAAGCAAUGAUAGAUAUUAGGUUAGGUUUUGAUGAAUCAAUUGAAUAAAAAUUGAAAAUAAAAUUUAACUCCAUUUGGAUGAAAAAUUAUGUGAAUGAAGUUAGGUCAAAUUGAAUGAACUUUGGUGAUUAAAAAU
rnacentral:lncRNA from 1 species